GGGCCCGCACAAGCGGUGGAGCAUGUGGUUCAAUUCGAAGCAACGCGCAGAACCUUACCAACCCUUGACAUGUCCAGUAUGGGUUUCAGAGAUGAGACCCUUCAGUUCGGCUGGCUGGAACACAGGUGCUGCAUGGCUGUCGUCAGCUCGUGUCGUGAGAUGUUGGGUUAAGUCCCGCAACGAGCGCAACCCUCGCCCUUAGUUGCCAUCAUUUAGUUGGGCACUCUAGGGGGACUGCCGGUGAUAAGCCGCGAGGAAGGUGGGGAUGACGUCAAGUCCUCAUGGCCCUUACGGGUUGGGCUACACACGUGCUACAAUGGCGGUGACAAUGGGAUGCAAAGGGGUGACCCUGUGCAAAUCUCAAAAAGCCGUCUCAGUUCGGACUGGGGUCUGCAACUCGACCCCACGAAGUCGGAAUCGCUAGUAAUCGUGGAUCAGCAUGCCACGGUGAAUACGUUCCCGGGCCUU
rnacentral:rRNA from 1 species